GAUUCGUAACCUCGGGAAAUGGAUUGGCUUUGAGGGUUGGGCAUGAGGGUCCCAGUCCCAAACCCGUCGGCUGUCGGUAGACUACUCAAGCUGCUCCUGCGGCGAGAAUGGGUCGCCAGGGGACGGACUAGGAACAGCUCCCUCGGGGGCCUUCCCCGGGUGUCGAAAAGUCGACUUAGAAUUGGUAC
rnacentral:ncRNA from 1 species